rnacentral:rRNA from 1 species
AUUGAACGCUGGCGGCAGGCCUAACACAUGCAAGUCGAACGAGUGGCGGACGGGUGAGUAAUGUCUGGGAAACUGCCUGAUGGCGGGGGAUAACUACUGGAAACGGUAGCUAAUACCGCAUACCAUCAGAUGUGCCCAGAUGGGAUUAGCUAGUUGGUGGGGUAACGGCUCACCAAGGCGACGAUCCCUAGCUGGUCUGAGAGGAUGACCAGCCACACUGGAGCGGGGACACGGUCCAGACUCCGACGAGAGGCAUCAGUGGGAAAUAUUGCACAGUGGGCGCAAGCCUGCUGCAGCGAUGCCGCGUGUAUGAAGAAGGCCUUCGGGUUGUAAAGUACUUUCGGCGGGGAGGCGUUACCCGCAGAAGAAGCACCGGCUAACUCCGUGCCAGCAGCCGCGGUAAUAC